rnacentral:lncRNA from 1 species
UCUUAUGCUUCCAGAGGAAGAUACCACAUCUGCCUGAGGAACAAUAUAGGGAAAGUGAGAAGGAUACAAGGAAGCAUGUGGAGACAAGCGUAACAGAACAUGUGCCGAUACAUCCACUACUUUAUCAACAGCAAAAGUAUCCCAUAUCAGCAGGGUCGAACGUACUCUAGAUUUGAUGGACUUGUUUUGACCUUCAAAUUCUUCAGUCGGCCUUAUACUCUGGAGGAAACCAGAAAAUCCUCCAGCCCAUUCAAGAAUAAGCCUGUGGAAAGUUAUUUUUCAAAAGCAAAAGUAUUUCAUAUCAUCUAUUCUCUUUUUCUUCUCUUUAUCCUUCAUGCUGCAUGCAAGAUAGGGAGAAUGAGAACAAUCAGCCGGAACUCGAAAUCAAACUUCUGAUCUGGGACUGAUUGCUUGGAGCUCUGAUUGCUUACCUUGUCUGUCACCUCUUUCAGCAGAUCCCCUAGCUCGGCGACUUAGGGGACUUCUACUACAUGGUUUGUAUCGCGCUUGACCAAGUCUGAAACUACAAGUAAGCUUCAAGUGAAAUUGAUACAUUACCUUGUGCAUCUCCACCAGUUAACCACCCAUGGAUGGAGGAGUACUUCUAGAGAAGAUGUCACAUCUACCUAUGAGACAGAUAAGGCAAGUGAAGACGAGAGCUUGAACCUAUGUCAUUUGUACUAAAUCAUUCACUUGUAC